rnacentral:rRNA from 1 species
UACGAAGGGAGCUAGCGUUGUUCGGAAUCACUGGGCGUAAAGCGCACGUAGGCGGAUGUGUCAGUCAGGGGUGAAAUCCCGGAGCUCAACUUCGGAACUGCCUUUGAUACAGCACAUCUGGAGUCCGGAAGAGGUGGGUGGAAUUCCUAGUGUAGAGGUGAAAUUCGUAGAUAUUAGGAAGAACACCGGCGGCGAAGGCGGCCCACUGGUCCGGUACUGACGCUGAGGUGCGAAAGCGUGGGGAGCAAACAGG